GAUGAACGCUGGCGGCGUGCCUAAUACAUGCAAGUCGAGCGAACAGAUAAGGAGCUUGCUCCUUUGACGUUAGCGGCGGACGGGUGAGUAACACGUGGGUAACCUACCUAUAAGACUGGAAUAACUCCGGGAAACCGGGGCUAAUGCCGGAUAACAUUUAGAACCGCAUGGUUCUAAAGUGAAAGAUGGUUUUGCUAUCACUUAUAGAUGGACCCGCGCCGUAUUAGCUAGUUGGUAAGGUAACGGCUUACCAAGGCAACGAUACGUAGCCGACCUGAGAGGGUGAUCGGCCACACUGGAACUGAGACACGGUCCAGACUCCUACGGGAGGCAGCAGUAGGGAAUCUUCCGCAAUGGGCGAAAGCCUGACGGAGCAACGCCGCGUGAGUGAUGAAGGGCUUCGGAUCGGAAAACUCUGUUAUUAGGGAAGAACAAAUGUGUAAGUAACUGUGCACGUCUUGACGGUACCUAAUCAGAAAGCCACGGCUAACUACGUG
rnacentral:rRNA from 1 species